ensembl:lncRNA
GGCUCCAACAGAACUCAACGGGCUCCAGCAGAACUCAAUGGGCUCCAAAAGAACUCAAUGGGCUCCAAAAGAACUCAAUGGGCUCCAAAAGAACUCAAUGGGCUCCAACAGAACUCAAUGGGCUCCAAAAGAACUCAAUGGGCUCCAAAAGAACUCAAUGGGAUCAAUCCAACAGAACUCAAUAGAACUGCUCCAGAACCACACCUUUUGUGUGUGUACAAGGUAUGUGGUUGAUGUUUUCGUAUUCAUUGUCUUGUUAAAUACCAUCGUUAGAGACCGUGUCAGUUAUCACAGUGACUUCACAAUACAAGCAGUUCAUUUGUCUUGACUUUGAAUUGCUUUUCUUUGUUUUAAAUAAUGUUUUUAUUCUAAAUGUACAAUAUUAACACAUUUUAUCCAAUACAUCCCAGAUCCUCCAAAGGAGAAAUCGACGUUAAAUCGACUAUAUAUAUAUAUUUUAUAUAUCAUUAUUUUGCCACACCUCCCCCACCUUAUAUAUAUCUAUACGCUCUUCACUUCACAUAUCCACCUUAUAUAUAUAUAUAUAUAUAUAUAUACACUUUAUUUUAGACAUCAAUAUUCUCCAAUACGCUCCUUCACGGGGGGUAGAUGGGUCUGUCUGAGGAGGGAAUCGGAGGGUGGUCCGGUGGGGAGGAAGUGUUAGGGGGCGGUAACGACGGGGUGAGCUUGAGCUGGGGGGGGGUACAGGAGCAUUGCAGGGGCGACAGCAGCUUCGCCAACCACACCCCCCAAAAAAAGGGACAUUCAGCAGUCAUAAUCCAAUACCUACACGGUAAUGUAACCAUACCACAUUAUAUUUACACCGUUCUGUACCUCCCUCACUCUCCUUUCAACAUUCUGUAAACCCCUCACCUGAGGAUUCUCUUCCUGUUCCGGGAACCGCAAUAUCAUCACUUUACACCCCAGCUUCCUUAAAUCACUCUUUAACUUGGCCUGGUCCUUUACCAGUUUUAAUACACCCACCUUCUCAUUUCACUCUGUUCAUCAGCAACAGCAGACCCAUAGGUGGUGGUGGUGGGGGGCAUGUUGAGGGGUGGAGAUGAAAGGAAAAGGAGAGCGAGGAAAGGUAAUUUGGGAGAGAGAGAGAGAUGGUGAAAAGUUAAGUGGGAGAGAGAGAGAGAGAUGGUGAAAAGUUAAUUAAGUGGGAGAGAGAGAGAGAUGGUGAAAAGUUAAGUGGGAGAGAGAGAGAGAGAGAGGUUGAUUUUGGAUCAUUUGAGAUCCAUGAUCAUAAAGUGUACGUUGUUGGUGUGUACAGUAACUGCUAGUCUCUCUGUAAAGUCACAUGAUCAUGGCAAAGUGCUGUUGCCAUGGGAUCAAAAUGCCCACCCAGACCAGAGACAGACAGGGAAGUGGACCUAUGAGAGUAGAGCAUCGCACAGACUGACCAUCCUAUUGGCUAUACCUGACACACAGGAGGCUGUGGAAACUGACAGUGAACCCUGAGAAGCCGGUCAGCCGUUUGGCUGACACCUACAGAGGGCCAUGAUUUAAACCAAAUGUUUAGUGCUGGGUUGGAACAAAAGCCUGCACUGGCCAACUUGGAUAUGAUAGAGAAGAGCCUCUUCUCUUCUCUUUUCAGAGGGCCAUGAUUUAAAACAAAUGUUUAGUGCUGGGUUGGAACAAAAGCCUGCACUGGCCAACAUAGAUAUGAUAGAGAAGAGCCUCUUCUCUUUGGCAUCUCUACAUGAGUGUAUUUCCAUCACCACCACUCAGUUUAGUUCAAGCAUAAACUCAAUAACACACUUCAUCACAGUCUUGUCUGCAUCUCAAAUUGCACCCUAUUCAUUCCCCCAUUUAGUGCACUACUUUUGACCAAGGGCUCUGAUCAAAACUAGUGCACUACUUUUAGUGCACUACUUUUGAACAAGGGCUCUGAUCAAAACUAGUGCACUACUUUUAGUGCACUGCUUUUAGUGCACUACUUUUGACCAAGGGCUCUGAUCAAAACUAGUGCACUACUUUUAGUGCACUGCUUUUAGUGCACUACUUUUGACCAAGGGCUCUGAUCAAAACUAGUGCACUACUUUUAGUGCACUACUUUUGAACAAGGGCUCUGAUCAAAACUAGUGCACUACUUUUAGUGCACUGCUUUUAGUGCACUACUUUUGACCAAGGGCUC